rnacentral:rRNA from 1 species
AACGAACGCUGGCGGCAUGCCUAACACAUGCAAGUCGAACGAGACCUUCGGGUCUAGUGGCGCACGGGUGCGUAACGCGUGGGAAUCUACCCUCAGGUUCGGAAUAACUCAGAGAAAUUUGAGCUAAUACCGGAUGAUGACGUAAGUCCAAAGAUUUAUCGCCUGAGGAUGAGCCCGCGUAGGAUUAGGUAGUUGGUGAGGUAAAGGCUCACCAAGCCGACGAUCCUUAGCUGGUCUGAGAGGAUGAUCAGCCACACUGGGACUGAGACACGGCCCAGACUCCUACGGGAGGCAGCAGUGGGGAAUAUUGGACAAUGGGCGAGAGCCUGAUCCAGCAAUGCCGCGUGAGUGAUGAAGGCCUUAGGGUUGUAAAGCUCUUUUACCCGGGAUGAUAAUGACAGUACCGGGAGAAUAAGCUCCGGCUAACUCCGUG